rnacentral:rRNA from 1 species
CCUACGGGAGGCAGCAGUGAGGAAUAUUGGUCAAUGGACGCGAGUCUGAACCAGCCAUGCCGCGUGCAGGAAGACUGCCCUAUGAGUUGUAAACUUCUUUUGUACGAGGGUAAACUCAGAUACGCGUAUCUGUCUGAAAGUAUUUUAUGAAUAAGGAUCGGCUAACUCCGUGCCAGCAGCCGCGGUAAUACGGAGGAUUCAAGCGUUAUCCGGAUUUAUUGGGUUUAAAGGGUGCGUAGGCGGUCGGUUAAGUUAGUGGUGAAAUCUCGAGGCUCAACUGUAGAAUUGCCUCUGAUACUGGUCGGCUAGAGAGUAGUUGCGGUAGGCGGAAUGUAUGGUGUAGCGGUGAAAUGCUUAGAGAUCAUACAGAACACCGAUUGCGAAGGCAGCUUACCAAGCUACUUCUGACGUUGAGGCACGAAAGCGUGGGGAGCAAACAGGAUUAGAUACCCGUGUAGUC